GAUCAUGGCUCAGGAUGAACGCUAGCGGCAGGCCUAACACAUGCAAGUCGAGGGGUAGAGUUCUUCGGGACUCGAGACCGGCGCACGGGUGCGUAACGCGUAUGCAAUCUACCUUAUACAGGGGAAUAGCCCAGAGAAAUUUGGAUUAAUGCCCCAUAGUGUCAUCGAAUCGCAUGGUUUGAUAACUAAAGUUCCAACGGUAUAAGAUGAGCAUGCGUCCCAUUAGUUAGUUGGUAAGGUAACGGCUUACCAAGACAAUGAUGGGUAGGGGUCCUGAGAGGGAGAUCCCCCACACUGGUACUGAGACACGGACCAGACUCCUACGGGAGGCAGCAGUGAGGAAUAUUGGUCAAUGGGCGCAAGCCUGAACCAGCCAUGCCGCGUGCAGGAAGACGGUCCUAUGGAUUGUAAACUGCUUUUAUACAGGAAGAAACCCUCCCACGUGUGGGAGCUUGACGGUACUGUAGGAAUAAGGAUCGGCUAACUCCGUG
rnacentral:rRNA from 1 species